rnacentral:rRNA from 1 species
ACUUAAAUUGAAGAGUUUGAUCAUGGCUCAGAUUGAACGCUGGCGGCAGGCCUAACACAUGCAAGUCGAGCGGUAGCACAGAGAGCUUGCUCUCGGGUGACGAGCGGCGGACGGGUGAGUAAUGUCUGGGAAACUGCCUGAUGGAGGGGGAUAACUACUGGAAACGGUAGCUAAUACCGCAUAACGUCGCAAGACCAAAGUGGGGGACCUUCGGGCCUCAUGCCAUCAGAUGUGCCCAGAUGGGAUUAGCUGGUAGGUGGGGUAACGGCUCACCUAGGCGACGAUCCCUAGCUGGUCUGAGAGGAUGACCAGCCACACUGGAACUGAGACACGGUCCAGACUCCUACGGGAGGCAGCAGUGGGGAAUAUUGCACAAUGGGCGCAAGCCUGAUGCAGCCAUGCCGCGUGUGUGAAGAAGGCCUUCGGGUUGUAAAGCACUUUCAGCGGGGAGGAAGGCGGUGAGGUUAAUAACCUCACCGAUUGACGUUACCCGCAGAAGAAGCACCGGCUAACUCCGUGCCAGCAGCCGCGGUAAUACGGAGGGUGCAAGCGUUAAUCGGAAUUACUGGGCGUAAAGCGCACGCAGGCGGUCUGUCAAGUCGGAUGUGAAAUCCCCGGGCUCAACCUGGGAACUGCAUUCGAAACUGGCAGGCUAGAGUCUUGUAGAGGGGGUAGAAUUCCAGGUGUAGCGGUGAAAUGCGUAGAGAUCUGGAGGAAUACCGGUGGCGAAGGCGGCCCCCUGGACAAAGACUGACGCUCAGGUGCGAAAGCGUGGGGAGCAAACAGGAUUAGAUACCCUGGUAGUCCACGCUGUAAACGAUGUCGAUUUGGAGGUUGUGCCCUUGAGGCGUGGCUUCCGGAGCUAACGCGUUAAAUCGACCGCCUGGGGAGUACGGCCGCAAGGUUAAAACUCAAAUGAAUUGACGGGGGCCCGCACAAGCGGUGGAGCAUGUGGUUUAAUUCGAUGCAACGCGAAGAACCUUACCUGGUCUUGACAUCCACAGAACUUUCCAGAGAUGGAUUGGUGCCUUCGGGAACUGUGAGACAGGUGCUGCAUGGCUGUCGUCAGCUCGUGUUGUGAAAUGUUGGGUUAAGUCCCGCAACGAGCGCAACCCUUAUCCUUUGUUGCCAGCGGUUAGGCCGGGAACUCAAAGGAGACUGCCAGUGAUAAACUGGAGGAAGGUGGGGAUGACGUCAAGUCAUCAUGGCCCUUACGACCAGGGCUACACACGUGCUACAAUGGCAUAUACAAAGAGAAGCGACCUCGCGAGAGCAAGCGGACCUCAUAAAGUAUGUCGUAGUCCGGAUUGGAGUCUGCAACUCGACUCCAUGAAGUCGGAAUCGCUAGUAAUCGUAGAUCAGAAUGCUACGGUGAAUACGUUCCCGGGCCUUGUACACACCGCCCGUCACACCAUGGGAGUGGGUUGCAAAAGAAGUAGGUAGCUUAACCUUCGGGAGGGCGCUUACCACUUUGUGAUUCAUGACUGGGGUGAAGUCGUAACAAGGUAACCGUAGGGGAACCUGCGGUUGGAUCACCUCCUUACCUUAAAGAA